ensembl:lncRNA
GGGAGGGAUAAGAGGAGGAGAGUGGGGGAAGGGUUGAUUGUUAGAGCAAGUAGGCUGCUGAGGAGAGGACUUCAGAAGCAGUGCACUCUGCAAGAAAAUAUGCUGUCUGGUUGAAAUCUAUUGGAUUUUCAGAUGAUAACGUUAGGAUACACGUUUAGCGAACUUUAUGACCACAUUCACUGUUGUUCCUUGUAGAUCUUGGACGUGAGAUUGCUAGGUCCGAACUCGCUAGACAUGAGAUGAGUUAGCGGUAUACUGGCCGUUAGCUAGUUUAAGAAGUAAAUAUUAUUUCAUAGAAAGGGUUGGCAAUAUCGAGGAAAAUCCUCGUCCAGACAUUGGCAAGAAAAUUCCACUUAACGACCUAUCGGGGUGGUGUGUCGGGAUGGACUGCUCUGAUGGAGAAACUCAACCUCCACAAACGGGAGUACCCCACUACCCGGCAAUACAUGUGUGCACAGCUCUCAUUCAAAAGUACUCCUUGUUGAGAGACCAGACAGGGAAGGGAUAUGUAAGAAUUCUUGAAUUUUCCUACUCACAUUGAUUCACACACUAAUAACCUUUUUACACCAUUGUGCCUACCGAGACCAUAAUGUGCUGGCUUAGAUGUUUACUUCUCACAUUGGUUAUUCCAUCACAUUCGCAGCAGCAUAAAAAUACCAUCUACUGUUAUGUAAUUAACUACUAUGUCUGCUCCUCUGACCUCACUUCCAAUAAUCCGUCAUGACAUUUCUCAUGUACCCUUUACAGUAUGCAGCCAUUCUAAUUCCAUUCAUUCGAAUCCAGCCUUUUUAUUAUACACCCUUAAAUUGAAGGUCUCGAGGCCACUGCAGCCAUUUUGCUACCUCCUCAAAGAAGAUCCAAGUGGGCUGUACGUCACAGACAGUAACAAUUAGAGCCAAGUCCAACUGUUCCUGGAUGGAGAGGAGCUACAUGCCAGAGGACAUCUCCAUGGAAUUGAGAUUGGCAAUGGGAGUCCAUUUUGUUUUUAACAUUGAGCAUGCAGCAUCAGUGAAAAACACUAUGCUGAGCUUUCAGAAACCUGUUCUGGGAAUUUAUGAGUGGGGUAAAUUACCAACAAAUGUUGAAUGGCAAACUUUUUUCAGAGUUCCUCUGUCCAGUGUCUGUGUUAUUUUGCCCAUCUUCAUCUUUUCUUUUUAUAGGCCAGUCUGAGAUAUGGCUUUUUCUUUGCAACUCUGCACAGAAGGCCAGCAUCCCGGAGUCGGCCUUUUCAUUGUUGACGUUGAGACUGGAGUUUUGCGGGUACUAUUUAAUGAAGCUGCCAGUUGAGGACUUGUGGGGCGGGGCGUCUGUUUCUCAAACGAGAUACUCUAAUGUACUUGUCCUCUUGCUCAGUUGUGCACCGGGGCCUCCCACUCUUUCGAUUCUGGUUAGAGCCAGUUUGCGCUGUCCUGUGAAGGGAGUAGUACACAGCAUUGUACGAGAUCUUCAGUUUCUUAGCAAUUUCUCGCAUGGAAAAGCCUUCAUUUCUCAGAACAAGAAUAGACUGAUGAGUUUCGGAAGAAAGGUCUUUGUUUCUGGCCAUUUUGAGCCUGUAAUCGAACCCACAAAUGCUGAUGCUCCAGAUACUCAACUAGUUUAAAGAAGGCCAGUUUUAUUGCUUCUUUAAUCAGAAGAACUGUUUUCAGCUGUGCUAACAUAAUUGCAAAAGGGUUUUCUGAUGAUCAAUUAGCCUUUUAAAAUUAUAAACUUGGAUUAGCUAACACAACGUGUCAUUGGAACACAGGAGUGAUGGUUGCUGAUAAUGGGCCUCUACGCCUAUGUAGAUAUUCCAUUACAAAUCAGCCAUUUCCAGCUACAAUAGUCAUUUACAACAUUAACAAUAUCUACACUGUAUUUCUGAUCUAUUUGAUGUUAUUUUAAUGGACAAAAAAUUUGCUUUUCUUUCAAAAACAAGGAAAUAUCUAAGUAACCCCAAACUUUUGAACGGUAGUGUAUAUACUGUAUGUAUGUUUUUAUGUUUAGAUUCAUAAUAUAAUUUAAAAGUAUGCAUGAAGGGAUCUGUAAUAGAAUAAAUGUGGCAAAAUGUCUACAUUACGAAUGUAGACAUUAAUAAAGGCAUUUCUAAUAAUGUGUGACACAUGGUGCCAGGUUUCCUCCAGACGUGACGCUUGGCCUUCAGGCCAAAGAGUUCAAUAUUGGUUUCAUCAGACUAGAGAAUCUUGUUUCUCAUGGUUUGAGAGUCUUUAGGUGCCUUUUGGCAAACUCAAAGCGGGUUGUCAUGUGCCUUUUACUGAGGAGUGGCUUCCGUCUGGCCACUCUAACAUAAAGGCCAGAUUGGUGGAGUGCUGCAGAGAUGGUUGUCCUAUCUCCACAGAUCAACUAUAGAGCUCAGGUUCUUGGUCACCUCCCUGACCAAGGCCCUUCUUCCCUGAUUUCUCAGUUUGGCCAGGCAGCCAGUUCUAGGAAGAGUCUUGGUGGUUCCAAACAUCUUCCAUUUUAGAAUGAUGGAGGCCACUGUGUUCUUGGGGACAUUCAAUUCUACAGAAAUUGUUUGGUACCCUUCCCCAGAUCUGUGCCACGACACAAUCCUGUUUUGUUGCUCUAUGGAUAAUUCCUUCAACCUCAUGGCUUGGUUUUUGCUCUGACCAUGCACUGUCAACUAUGGGACCUUAUAUAGACAGGUGUGUGCCUUUCCAAAUCAUGUCCAAUCAAUUGAAUUUACCACAGGUGGACUCCAAUCGAGUUGUAGAAACAUCUCAAGUGUGAUCAAUGGAAACAGGAUGGACCUGAGCUCAAUUUCGAGUCUCAUAGCAAAGGGUC